rnacentral:rRNA from 1 species
AUUGAACGCUGGCGGAAUGCUUUACACAUGCAAGUCGAACGGCAGCACGGGGCAACCUGGUGGCGAGUGGCGAACGGGUGAGUAAUAUAUCGGAACGUGCCCAAUCGUGGGGGAUAACGUAGCGAAAGUUACGCUAAUACCGCAUACGAUCUACGGAUGAAAGCGGGGGAUCGCAAGACCUCGCGCGAAUGGAGCGGCCGAUAUCAGAUUAGGUAGUUGGUGGGGUAAAGGCUCACCAAGCCAACGAUCUGUAGCUGGUCUGAGAGGACGACCAGCCACACUGGAACUGAGACACGGUCCAGACUCCUACGGGAGGCAGCAGUGGGGAAUUUUGGACAAUGGGCGCAAGCCUGAUCCAGCCAUUCCGCGUGCAGGAUGAAAGGG